rnacentral:tRNA from 1 species
GCAUCCAUGGCUGAAUGGUUAAAGCGCCCAACUCAUAAUUGGCGAAUUCGCGGGUUCAAUGCCUGCUGGAUGCA